rnacentral:rRNA from 1 species
AUUGAACGCUGGCGGCAGGCCUAACACAUGUAAGUCGAGCGGCAGCGACUUAACUGAACCUUCGGGGAACGUUAAGGGCGGCGAGCGGCGGACGGGUGAGUAAUGCCUGGGAAUAUGCCCUGAUGUGGGGGAUAACUAUUGGAAACGAUAGCUAAUACCGCAUAAUCUCUUCGGAGCAAAGAGGGGGACCUUCGGGCCUCUCGCGUCAGGAUUAGCCCAGGUGGGAUUAGCUUGUUGGUGAGGUAAUGGCUCACCAAGGCUACGAUCCCUAGCUGGUCUGAGAGGAUGAUCAGCCACACUGGAACUGAGACACGGUCCAGACUCCUACGGGAGGCAGCAGUGGGGAAUAUUGCACAAUGGGGGAAACCCUGAUGCAGCCAUGCCGCGUGUGUGAAGAAGGCCUUCGGGUUGUAAAGCACUUUCAGUAGGGAGGAAGGUAGUGUAGUUAACACCUGCAUUAUUUGACGUUACCUACAGAAGAAGCACCGGCUAACUCCGUGCCAGCAGCCGCGGUAAUACGGAGGGUGCGAGCGUUAAUCGGAAUUACUGGGCGUAAAGCGCAUGCAGGCGGCCUGUUAAGUCAGAUGUGAAAGCCCGGGGCUUAACCUCGGAAUUGCAUUUGAAACUGGCAGGCUAGAGUCUUGUAGAGGGGGGUAGAAUUUCAGGUGUAGCGGUGAAAUGCGUAGAGAUCUGAAGGAAUACCAGUGGCGAAGGCGGCCCCCUGGACAAAGACUGACGCUCAGAUGCGAAAGCGUGGGGAGCAAACAGG